rnacentral:lncRNA from 1 species
GGCUGCUGCCGCCAGCUGAGCAACAGCAGCAGCAGCAGCAGCAAUCAGCUGCUGCUGCAAGCUGAGCUGCAGGGGCAGCAAGAAAAGAAAGGAAAGAAAGCAAGAAAAGAAAGAAAAGAAAGAAAGAAAGAAGGAAAGAAAAGAAAGAGAAGAAAGAAAAGAAAGAAAAGAAAGAGAGAUGGAAUGAAAUAAAAGUUGAAUUGCUCAAUAGUUUGAUUUUGACCCCGACAAUACACUUUUGCAGGAUAAGGAUCCUACCGUGAAAUUGACCGCGUACAAACCUAAUUGAGGGUAAAAGAAACUCGUUGGCGAAGUCGGUUCGGCAAUCCGUCGAGCCUACGCAAAGACAGCGCCAAAAGGACAAUUUCGGCUACGAUUGUCGCGAGCGCGGAUCGCGGUUCUCGGGAAAGUACGGGAAAUUGAUUUCUCGCGUUCAGGUAUCAGAUAAAGGUAAGUUGAGUUCAUAUCUAAUUAUAAUUGAGUUGAAGUGGAUACAUUGAAUGAGUUCUUGAUGCUUCAAGCUGAAAUAAAAGCUUCAGCUGAGGGGAGCUUAUGUAUUGAUAUGGUCUUGAGCUGAACAAAAGACUUUCAAGCAGAAUUUCUCGCUGAUUAGAGCUGAAUGGAAUCAGGUGGAACUUCUAAUUAAAGCAAACCUGAUUAAACAUUUAGUUAACCAGAUCUAGACUGAUUUACAUAAAGGAAACAGCUACUCAAAAAACAUGAAUGCUGAAAAACUUCAGCAUGGCAUAGAAUUCAGCCUAAUGCUGAAUUACAUGUUGAAUUAAGACUUCUAAGAAAAUACUUAUAAAUAUUGAGCUAAGAUCUUGAUAACUCAGCCUAAAGUUGAUGCUAUUGAUCCCUGAUCUUUGAUUAGAAAACUUAGAAGUUGAUGAAGAUUUUGAAGAGUUGUUAAUUAAACUAUGUACAUUUAUGUGUAAGUAGUAUACACAUAGAUAUUGAAGUGUUGGAAUAGAAAAUGCUAACUUGGAAAAUAUAAGAAUAUGACACCAAUGUAAUCUCUUUUAUUCUUAUAUAACUGAAAGUUAUACAUGCUCGAAAGUCUAAAUUGACUUUCCGACAGGUCGGCGACGCGCUAAUUACGAUAGAGACCGUUCUAGUUCUAUUUGCACUGAGUCGCGAGAGCUAGUUGUCGACGCAUUCCGAGACAUGAGAUCUUAGUGGAUUGACACCACUACAGGUGGGUGGUGCUAUCCGAAGUCUUUGAAUCACCUUUUAUGUUUAUGCUAUUCAUUGAGCAUAUUUACUUCUGUUUUCAUGCAUUAUAGGGUAUGGGCAUUGGCAUUAUGCAAGUGAUAUUGAACGUGUGAAUUCUUAUUGAUAGUAAGAACAUAUGAACAUAGAAUGUGGACAUAGAACCCUAUGAAUGCAUGGACUAUAACAAUAGUGAACUUGGUGACAUAUGACUAGAGAUUUGGUUAGCAUCGACAUUGGAAUUAUAAAACUAGCAUAAAGAGCUAGUUAGAGUAAAGUGUGACAGUGUUUGUCAGUUGAAUCCUCUAAAGGGGGAUCAGAUCAUACUCACAUUUGUUUAGUUCAAGUGAGGUCGCUCCUCCUUGAACGAUGAGCUCCGGAGUAGUCAUCUUUACUGGACCAGGAGGUGCGUCUCCCCCAAUUGACGGUCCCGUCGGGUGCAGGUUGCGUCUCCCCGAUAUUUGGGAUAGCGUCAGUGAGUUAUUGUUAACCAGAGGGUUAACCAUCGACUUCCUUCAUCAUAUACUUUUGACAUUUAUACGUACGUACGAAAAGUAAUUGAAAUGGGUUAGAGANAUUUGGUAAUUACACAUGGCUUAGUGGAUUUCCACUAAACCUGCCAGCAGGGGAGCCCUCAGCCAUCCUUAUCCCCCCCUCUGGUUCCAUACGUAGAGAGAGAGAAAGAGAAAAGAGAGAGGGAAGGAGAAGAGAAGAAGAAGAAGUAGAAGAAAAAGAGAAAAAAAGGUGAGAAUUCGAGUUUUAAUCCUCUCCCUCUCACCUCUCUCUCUCUGCUACUAGUAGCAGCAGCAGCUGCAAGCUAGAGCAGCAGCAGCAGCAGCAGCCCUUGCUGCUGCUGUGAGCAGGAACAGCAGCAGCAGUGUAAGCAGCAGCAGCAGCAGUGCAAGCAGCAGCAGCAACUGCAGCUAGCAGCAGCAGCAGCAGCAGCAGCAGCUGCGCCAGCAGCAGCAGCAGUCUGCGCCAACAGCAGCAGUAGAGGAGCAGCAUCAGCAGUAGCAUGAGUAGCAGCAACAACAGCACUAGCAGGAACAGCAGCAGCACCUGCUGCUGCUCAAGGCUGAUCAGCAGCAGCAGCAGCAGCAGCACUUGGCUGCUGCUGCAGGCUGAGCAGCAGCAGCAGCAGCACUUGGCUGCUGCUGCUAGUUGAGCAACGGCAGCAGCAGCAACAGCAGCAAUCAGCUGCUGCUGCAAGCUGAGCUGCAGGAGCAGCAAGAAAAGAAAGGAAAGAAAGCAAGAAAAGAAAGAAAAGAAAGAAAGAAAGAAGGAAAGAAAAGAAAGAGAAGAAAGAAAAGAAAGGAAAGAAAGAGAGAUGGAAUGAAAUAAAAGUUGAUUUGCUCGAUAGUUUGAUUUUGACCCCGACAAUGCACUUUUGCAGGAUAAGGGUCCUACCGUGAAAUUGACCGCGUACAAACCUAAUUGAGGGUAAAAGAAACGCGUUGGCGAAGUCGGUUCGGCAAUCCGUCGAGCCUACGCAAAGAUAGCACCAAAAGGACAAUUUCGGCUAUGAUUGUCGCGAGCGCGGAUCGCGGUUCUCGGGAAAGUGCGGGAAGUGGAUUUCUCGCGUUCAGGUAUCAGAUAAAGGUAA